CUGAACAUAUAGCAAGGGGGAUCUGGGUGCAUUGUUAUGCUGUGGAGGACACUUUUCUGGCUUGGUUAAGAGAAACUCGUCCCUCUAGAGGGAAAGGUGACUGCAAAUCAAUACAAAGUUGACCUGAGUGAUCACUUUCAUCCUGUGAUUAAUAUUUCUAUCUUGAUGAGAUGGCUCUCCUCCAGGAUGACGGUGCCUCCAUCCAAAGGGCACGAGGGCCCUCUACAGACCUUCAGUAAGCCUGCACCCGCUAAACAGAUCUUCAGCCUGUAAUCAAAUUCUGCUCCAUCAGCUCUGCAUUAAUGGAGAAAGAGAAGGAGAAACCGGACAAAGUGACAGAAAAGAAGUCUGUAUGGCAACAGUCUGUAAUACAGCCCACAAUUCUGAAUCAGAACAAAGAACUACAGACUCUUCACAACCUGCUCAAACUCUUGGUACAGGACCUCACCACACGGGUCAAGAAGGUUUCUGUCUCAUUUCUACUCUGAAGCUCACCUUCUCCUGCUCAAACUGCUGACAGAUGUUUCUGCUGCUCUAAAGUCUGGUCUCCAGAACUUCCUAAAAACUCUCAAAGGCUCUUCUGCUGCAGGUUGCUUUGUAGAACUGUUCCAGAAAACCUCACUAAACCACAUGGAGGGGCCUCAAGAUAGUCGUCCAAAUGAAACCAUACAAAAACCAAACUAGCACAACCCAAACGCUAAAGUCUCCUGCAGCCUACCAGAGAACCUCUGAGAACAGAGAAUCAGGACAGGAACUCUUACCUUCUGGACAACCAACGUUGGUUCACAAACCAAAAUACAGAAUGUGUCUGACCAAAAACCUCUGAAGACUCACUACAGCCAAGAUAAAGACACAACUCAGCUGCAGCAAAUCCACUAAUAACUGCACACAUUAGCACCAUGUGCUACCUGUGGCUAAAGAACCUCAUUUACCAAGACAACUAUCCAGUACAAAGCCCUAAAACACACCAAGAAACACAUUAAAGACGAUUUUACUGCUGGAAGCUGCAAACCAACGCCUAAAUAACAAACUAAAGCAACGAAGCCAAACCAGGUUCAGUGGUGAAGAGAAGCAGAGGAAAUGUUUGACUGCAGCUAAAUAAAGCAGGAAGACACUGAGCUGCUCAGGUGUUCCUGAUAACACCAAGCUGCUCAGGUGUUCCUGAUAACACCAAGCAGCCACCUGGACAGCCAAUAGGAACACAGCUUCCUGGAAGUCCAGAGGGCGGGGUUAGUGAAGGAAAUUUAGUUUAAAGUUGAAGCAGAAAGUUAACAAAGAAAGUUGAAAACCACCUUCUGAUACCUGAAAUCUCUGAGUUUUCACACAAAGAACACCUGAACAUGUCAAACUGGUUCCAUAGUAGAACCAUCAUUGUAAAAACGUCAUAGUAUGGUGUGUUGCUCAAAAAACAUUAGGACCCGGCUGUCAGGGGACAAACAUGUAAGAAACAUGAGAACAGAGAGAACCCAACCAGCAGGUCACAGUUUAUCAUCCCCCAGUCAUCUCCUGAAGUCCAUAUGGUGAGAGACAUCAGUAUCUGGUUGUUAAUUUACCAGAGGAUGCUUAUAAUCAUGCUGCUGUGGUCUGUACUCUACAGUAUUUUAGUGACUCAAUAAAUGCCUAAGUUGUUUUUUUUUUUAAUGCUUUUUAGUUUUUAAUAAACAUUUAACAGCCUAUAUGUAAUCAAUAAAUGGCCUUUGCCUAUCUUAAGAAAAAUUCACUCAGAACUCUGAUAUGUUAACAGUACUAAAUAAAUCAAUAAAUACAUGCAUACACACAAAAAUAAGUCAAUACAUUAACUGUGUUAAGAUAAGAUUUAGAUUUUUAAAAAAAGUUGUUUAUGUUUUUGCAGAAUCCAGUGUUGCUCACUGGUUGGUCAUUUCAUUUUGUUAGUUUGAUUUCACUGUUUAAAAUGAUGCCACCUCUUUUCAGACAGAACCUGUGAUAAUAAAACAAUACAACAUUUUUAGUUCCGUGUUAAUAAAGCACUUAAAGCUUUAAGUAUGGCUAAAUGCUUUUUUCAAAAUUAAAUAUAUCACUCCUUAGGUGGUAGUGGCCCCAAGUUCGGUAAAGUUGGAAAGAUAUUCACAGAUUCACACUUCCAGCAUCAAUAACUCAUUAGAUAUAGGUUGUCAAAACAUAAACGGUGCCUCUUUCCCAUUGUUGUAAGGUAGACAAUGUGCUACAAGCCCAGUUUUAUCAAAAGUAGCUGUCUUUCAAGCUACAGGAAUAACAUUGGUGUCUAUGGAGUGAACAGGGUCCUUCUGCAAUUUGCAAAACCACUGCAACAGUAAAGAGAGACAAAUAUUCAAUAACUUCACUCUUAUACAUUGUAGUGUCACUAAAAUCACUGCAGCCUUCAACUGGCUCCUGUUGACAAAGUGUUUUAACAGAAAUGUAAAUGCUGUAAUUUGAUUCUUUUAAUGAACCAUGUAACUUGAAUGGAUGUGAUGCUGGUGUGACCACAGUGCACACGUCUGAUGUUGCUCACAGUGGUCCAAGGGACGCUCAGGGAGUUUGUGUGUUUGCUCACACUCAGGAAAAAUUACAGGGAACAUUGCCUCAGAGGUGUGCUGCUGUCAUCAGGGCCAGAGGUAGUUCAGUUAAGUUUGCUCCUGCAUGGUGAUGUUUACACUGUAAAAUGAAAAGACUUGAAGGUUUCCAGUAAUAUUUCAGCCACAAACGUUAUGUUUACCAACAGUGUUGUAGCUUUGCCUUAAAUAUUAACUGAUGUAGAGCCAAGAGGUGACUCCAAGAUGCUCUUGGCCCCUUUAUGCUACAGUCUUGGCAAACUUCUGGCCACCUCAGACAACCACUAGUGAAGCCUGUUAGAGGGGUUUGGCCAUACUCAUAGAACUGGAAUAAGUGUAAGUGAAAAGAGCAUAACUUUGACUGUUUCAAAUCUUUUGAAAUUAAAAAGCUUGGCAUAUAUGAGUUCUCAAGGUGUAUUUCUAAACGUCAUACCUGCAUAAGUGAACAAUAAAAAUAUCCAAAAAAUUUGACUGUUUGGCCUCCAGACAUUUGAGAUAUUAGUUUCUAUCAGUUUCAGCCUGGCCACCCCUAUAAAAAGUCUGUGUUGCUGACUAUUAAUAAAUAUCUUUUGUUUGUUUCUAUUUGUUAAACUUGUCAUUAAAAUAAUGUACCAGCAUCAAAAAAUCCCUUGAUGAUGAAAUUUCUUUGAAUUCCAUUGCACAUCAGUGAGGCAACACUAAAUGAUAGAAACACAGUUAAAACAUUUACAAAAAAACCCCCACAGCGACACAGCACCUCAAACUGUAUCCUUUAAAAUGAUCGUACAGUCUUAUCAACACAUUUUGAAAACAGUUUCAACAAAAACUGUAAAUAACAACAUUCACUAAAACAAGAAACAUUUACUUUAACAAGCUCAACUGUGAAAUUUCAGAUUUCAAAGAACUGCAUGAGCUCAAGAUGUAAUUACUCCAAGGUGAAUGAACAGAGCCCAUUUUACUACCCAGUGUGUAUUAAAAUGCCACAACCUGAGGAACAGUAACCUAAACUCACACAUGCAUGUGGUAUAUAUGUACAUUUAUAAUGAAUUUUUUUAAAAAUUUAAAGUUGUUGAUAAUGUUCAAGUCAGUGCUGUUGUGAACUGUCCAAAUAAUAAAGUGUUUUUACAACUUGGCAACAUUUUUUUUUGAAACUAUGACAGGUGAGUUGCAUUAUAGUGUCACCACUAGAGGGCAUUUACACCAGAUUUUGUAGGAAGACUAAAGCUUAUUUUUUUAAAAAAACAUAAAGACACUCAAAUCUUCUUGACAGAUCUCUGUGCUUCUUUAGCGAUGCUAAUUUCAUCAUACUUCCAGUUACACAUUCUGUAUUUGCAUAUGCUGAUCUGCUGCUUUGCUGUUGAGUAUCAGCAGUAAGAAGAAGGACAGAGGAGAUGACAGCAUCACCUGCUGGCGCAUAACAAAAUAAAAGCAGUUCCUCACUGCUCACAGCCUUCUUAGAUUUUACGUUUCAUGAAUGCUUACUGCAGCCAUCCUGCCCUGCCUUUUACCAUGAUCUAUACUGGAGUGCAUUUCUUGCCUGAGCAUAAUGACAGACACUGCGACUAGAAAAUGACGUAGACAAACAGAAACCUGGUAAAAGCCUUUCAGCAGAACGUCAUGCACAUUACAUGUAUAUUUCCUGACAGUGUACGAAUUGAUUUGAAGUGAAUUUGUUUCUGACACCUUUGUGAAGGAGGGGAGCU